rfam:Gorilla gorilla gorilla genomic chromosome, chr6, whole genome shotgun sequence
CCAAAGGCCCUUUUCAGGGCCGCCCACCUUUUUCAUAGAAGAGCGG